rnacentral:pre_miRNA from 1 species
GAAUGUGGGCCUGACCCAAAGCCCAUUUGAAGACAAUGCAAGUCUUUCCAUUGACUUCAGUGGGUUUUGGAUCAGGCCCCAUAGGGU